AAGAAACAAUGGACAUCAACCUUAAAAUGACUCAGAUGUUGGAUUUAGCAGAUAAAUAUUUUUAAAUAGGUAUUAUAACUAUUAUAGUAACUCAUGGAGACAAAUGAAAACGUUCUCAUUAUAGAACACAGAAAAUCUCAGUAGAAAUAAGAAGUUGUGAAGUAAAACAAAAUAGAACUUCUAGAACUAAAACAUACAGUGUCUUAAAUUAAAAUGUAUUGGAGAUUUUAACAGCAGAAUAGAAAUGGCUGAAGACUCUGUUAAUUUGAAGAUACAGCAAUCAAAACUAUCCAAUUUGAAGAAAAGAAAGGAAAAAUAUUUUUAAAGUGAGUUAGUCACAGGUACCUGUGGAACAAUAUCAAAAGGUCUAACAUAUGUAAUUGGAGCCCCAGGAGGAGAAUAAAGAGAAAAUGGGGCCUAAAAUUUAUGUAAAGAAAUAAAAAGCAAAAAUGUCCCUAAAUUUGCUAAAGGACAUAUUUAGAGAUUCAAGAAGAACCCGAGUCAGGGUAAAUACAAAUAAAAUCAUGUCUAGCCAUAUCAUAGUCAAACUUUAAAAACCAAAGAUAAAGAGAAAAUAUUGAAAGCCUUCAGAAGAAAAUGAUACAUUACAUAUAGAGGAACAAAGAUUCCAAUAACCGUGGACACAUCAUCAGAAAUCACGGAGGCCAAUGAUGUUCUUGAAGUGUUGAAAGAAAAAAAAAUUGUCAACACAGAUGAAUACAAAUGACAGCUAUAACAUCAAAGACAAAGGAGGUGAGUGGACAUUAAGAGGUAUAAGAUUCACACAUUUUACAUAAAAUAAUACUAUAUUGGAUCUAAAUAGAGUUAAGAGAUGUUUAAGAUGUCUAUUUAAUUUCUAGGGCAAUCACUAGGAAAUGAUACAAAGAGGUAUAUGAAAGAAGCCAAUAGAUGAAUUAUAAUGGAAUUCUAAAAACCAUCCAAUUAACAUAAAGAGGGCAAGAAUAGAGGACAAGAGUUACGUUAGACAGAGAGGGCAAACAAAAUUAAUAGCAAUAUUCGUACAAUUGGAAUGUUACUCAGCAACAAAAAGGAAUGAGCUACUGAUCCAUGUACCAACAUGGAUGAAUCACAAGAACAUUAUACUGAGUGAAGGAAGCCAAACACAAGAGAUUAAAUACUGUGCUUUGAAUUUUAAUGAAAUUUUAGAACAGGUGAAAAAUUAAUCUGUAGUGAACACUAAUCAGAACGGUGGUUGCCUCUGGAGUAUUGGGGGGGUGAAACUGUUGGGAAGUUGCAUAAAAUAACUUUCCAUAGUGGUGGUAGUGUUCUGUAUCACGAUAAGGGUUUAGGUUACACAGGUGUGUAUUUCCAAACUCAUCAAAUUGUACACUUAGAUAUGGGCAUUUCACUUCAUGUAAAUUUGCCUCAAAAAGAGCCGUAGGAUGUGAGAGCUCUCUGGCUGCAACAUCUGUCACCCCAUUGAUUGCCAGUGUUGAUUCAGCUGAUGUGGCUGGCUAGGUAGGUGUCCUCCUCCUCCCUCACCACUCCAUGUGCAUCCCUCUCAAAGCUGUACACUGGGUCGAAGAGGACGACCUUCCCCAAUAGAGGAGCACCAUUCUUGGGUCAAGGGUAUGCGGGUAGCUGCGAUCCCCCGCUAGAACCUCCCAGUAAACUCUCCAGGUCCGUUUGUAGGAGAAUGUAGGGUAGUCAAGUUUCUGAGACUCCAGACACAUCCAAAUGAGGUGCUGCACAUGGAAGUCUGUCUUUAAAAAAAAGAAAUCAAGAGCCGUAAACAAAUAUUUUAUUGAUAGUAUGCAUGCUGAAGGGAUUAAAGGUUAAAAGUGCUAAUUUCUGCAACUUACUUUGCAAUGCAUCAGAAGAUGAGAUGGAUUGAUAUGUGAUGUUGUAAAGAAAACAUAACAAAACAUUAACUAGAGGAGCUAGGUGGUGGAUAUAUGAGUGUAACAUGUGCACUUCUUUCAACUUUUCUGUAUAUUUGAACAUUUCCUUAACAAAGUAUUGAACAAAACAGGCUCCACACUGAACUCAUUAUCGCUUAUUCCCUUCAAGCCUAGUGGUUCCAUCCAAUGGCACUGUCUUUGACUGAGUUGUAGAAGUCAUAAACCUGGGGUUCAUUCUCUACUCCUCUCUUUUCCUUAUCCUUCAUAUCUAAAUUAUCAGAAAAUAUCAUAGGUUACAUUUCCUAUACAUUUCUCCUGUCAGUAUACUUCUUUUUCCAUCAUAGCUGCUGAUCUGUUCCCAGCCAUCAUCGUCUGUCACCUUGACUACUGUUUGUGCUUCCUAACAUGGCUUCUAGCAUCUGCCACUGCCCCUUUUCAAUCCACUGUCCACCUCUUGUCAUACUUGUUUUGUUUUGCUUUGUUUCAAACAGGCUUCACGCCCAGUGCGGAGCCCAACACAGGGCUUGAACUCACGGCCCUGAGAUCAAGACCUGAGCUGAGAUCAAGAGUCGGAGGCUUAACCCACUGAGCCACCCAGGGGCCCCAUAGUGCAAGUACAUUACAUCACUCCUGCUUAAAAUUCUUUUAGGUUAUCCCAUAACUGUAAGGCUAAGGCUCGAAAGUCUUCAUGUGGCUUGGGAGACCUCUUUCUGUUUCUCAACUUCAUGUCAUCCUGUUCUCCACUUGGUUAUCUCAGCCCCAGCUCUACUGGACUCGUUUUGCUCCCAGUAUGUGUGACAUAUGCUCUCUCCUCUGCCUGGAAUAUCCUUCCCCCUCAAUCUUCUUUCUCCUGGCAAAUGUCUCCUCAUUCUUCAUGUGUCUAUUUAAAUGGAUCUCCCUAGGGAGGCCUCUUGCUCCCAGAAUGGGUUAGAUCUCCUUCCCACAGUAGAAAUUAGUCUUUAUAGCCCUUAUUAUGUCACCAUUACAUCAUUCCAUUCCCAGAAGUUAGCACAGUAGGCUGGCAGAUAAUAAAUAUGUGCUCAAGAGUUAUCUGUGGUACGGAUGGUUGAAUGGGAGAGGGCAUGUUGGUAUACAUUCUCAAUUUGAUUUAGAGGACUAGUUUAGGAAAAAUAACAUGCUUUCUUUCUUUCUUUUUAAUAUUUAUUUAUUUUGAGGAGAGCACAAGUGGGGGAGGGACAGAGAGAGGGGGACAGAGGAUCCUAAGUGGGCUCUGUGCUGACAGGCUUACAGCAGCGAGCCUGAUGUGGGGCUUGAACUCACAAAUCACAAGAUCAUGACCCGAGCUCAACUGACUGAGCCACCCAGGUGCCCCUAAAAAGAGCAUCUUUUCAUACACUUGAGGGAGUAUGUAUCAACACAUUUUGGAUUGCAAAUAUCAGACACCAGGAUCAAACUGGUAAGCAAUGAAGCUUCUAUGGGUAGAUGUCUAGAGGAGUGUAGGCUUCAGGUGGAGUGUGAUCAGGGUUUUCAAUCCAUUUCUUUUCAACCAUCUGGCUCUUUUUCUCUCAUAUGUUUGGUUUGUCCUCAGGCUUGUUUCCCUCGUGGUUUGAAGACCGAUGCCAGCAGCACCUGCAGCUUCUUUUCACAUUUAGCAGGAAAGAGACACUGGCCUCUCACUGGCCUCUAUUAACGCCAAGAAAGAAAUUUCCCAGAAGUCUUCAUCCACCAUCUCCUUGUGUCUGAAAUGCAAUCAUGUACUCAUUCCUGAGCCAAUCACUGGUUGGCUUGUACUUAUCAGUUCUCCUCUGGGAUCAGAUUCCUUCAGUUACAAGUGCUGCAUGACAAAGGGGUAGAGACCUGAACAAAAUUGAGGUUCUGUUAAGAAGAAUGAAGGGGAGAGUGGAUUCUGGCAAGACAACCAAAAUAUCUGCCUCUGUGUAUUAUGUUCUAAGAAAUUGCCUGCUCUUUAAAAAAAAUUUUUUUUAAUGGUCAUUUAUUUUUGAGAGACGGAGACAGGGCGUGAGCAGGGGAGGGGCAGAGAGAGAAGGGAGGCACAGAAUCCAAAGCAGGCUCCAGGCUCUGAGCUGUCAGCACAGAGCCCGACAUGGGGCUCAAACUCACGAACCGUGAAGAUCAUGACCUGAGCUGAGGUCAGAUGCUUAACCAACUGAGCCACCCAGGUGCCCCUCUCUCUCUCUUUUUUUUUAAUAAAUACUUUACAUUUUGGGAUUGAGAUUAUGUUUUUUUGAGCCUGUACUGAAACAGAUAACUUGUGGCCCAUUCAUCAUGAAUGCACAAAAUACUGUGUUAUUUUUAGAUUAGGUUCAUUCCUGCUUCCUGUUUAUGCUUUUACUCUGAUUUUCCUUUUGCUUCAUCUUUCUUGUCCAUUUCUAAUUUAUUUGUUUGGGAGUAUCAAUUUUUUACAGCUCCUUCCUGUCAGCCAUAGACGGGAAUUAGUUCGUGUCACCAGCAUGUCAUAAUUUUCUCAUUUUAUUUCCAUUCUCUGUUGGAAUAUUCUUCUGCUAAUAUUUUGAGAAGAUCCAUAAAUAUGGCUUUUUUGAUGAUGGAAACUAAGAUGAACUGAGAAAAUCUAAUAAUUUCAUAGCCUUUGUAAAGAGCACUCUAUAUAGAAAUUAUCUUUAAAAAGAUAAAAUCGAUCUGAUCUCAUUAUGAAAGAAUUGCCUUGUCUUUACUUUUGCUGUGAAUUGUGUAUUACAUGGUUUUGUUUAAAAUAUUAUGCCCUAUAACCAUUUGGCAAAAAGUAAAGUUAGAUUCCUUUCUUAUUCCAUAUGCCCAAAUAAAUUCAGAGAUUUAAAUGUAAAACAUGACUAUUACAUGGAACCUUGAGGCCGUUAGGCUAAAUGAAAUAAGCCCAUCACAGAAGGGCAAAUACUUCCUGAUUCCAUGUAUAUGAGGUAUCUAAAAUAGUCACGCUCAUAGAAUCAAAGAGUGAAAUGACAGUUGCCAGGGGCAAGAGGGAGCGGAACAUGGGGGUUGCUAAUUUGUGGGCAUAAAGUUUCAGUUAAGCAAAAUGAAUAAAUCCUAGAGAUCUGCACAACGUUGUACUGAUAGUUAUGAAUACUACAUUUACACUUAAAAAUUUGUUAAUAGGGUAGAUCUCAUGUUAUAUGUUCUUAGCACGAUAAAAUAAAAAUUUAAAAAUUCUUAAAUGUAAAACGAGAUCAUCAAAGGAAAUACGAGUGUAUAUAUAAUCUUAGGGAAGGAAAGAACUUUCUCGGCAUGAUACCUAAGACAGAAACCAUACAAGCAAACACUGAUUUCAAAUAAUAGAUAACCUCUAUUAAGGGAUUACUGUGUGCUGAGGACUUGUGUUAUCUCAUUUAACCUGCACUUCAAUCCUGUGAAGUAGGUAUGAUUACUAUCACCCUUUUAUGAAUGAGAAAAACUGGGCACAGGGAAGUGAAUUACCUUACUUAAGGUCACACAGCCAGGAAGUGACUGAGCUAAGAUCUGAGGCCCAAAUGUGGGACUCCAAAGCCUGAAAACCUAAUGGGAUAUGUUACAAAAUAGUAUUUACUGUAUAUACUGGCCAUUUCUUCAACACAGGGUGCUGUGAAAGCCAGACGAGUUCUUGCGUGUGUGAGUGCUUGGUCAACUGGAAAGAACUACUUAGGGCCUCAUGUCACUGCUUGCCAGGGUGGGACAAGGAAGAGUAGCCAGCAUCCAGUCCAUGCCUCCCCCACAGCCUCCUCUCUCCUUUCUCACUCUGUCUUCUUUCGUUUAUUUUUAAUUUUUUUCAUGUUUAUUUAUUUUCAGAGAGAGAGAGAGGGAGAGAGAAUCCCUAGCAGGCCUGACACCAACAGCAAAGAGCCUGCUGCACAGCUUGAUCUCACAAACCACAAGAUCAUGACCUGAGCCAAGACGAAGAGUGAGACGCUUAACCAACUGAGCCACCUGGCGCCAUUGUCUUCUUUCGUUUAAACUGUGCCGCUCAGUUGCAUGGAACCCCCUCAGCUAAUCCUGCAGCACAAGGUAUGAGUAUAUGGAUAUACACAGAUAAUGGACUUUUAGAAAAAUUGGGGAUUGUACUAGCAGCAGUGAGAAUGAGCAAGCCACAAAUAUAGUGACAACAUAGACUUAACAAACGUGAUAUUGAGCAUAGAAAGCCAGACACAGAAAAGUAAGUAUUGUAUAGUUCCAUUUGUAUCAAGUUCGAAAAAAGUCAAAACCAACCUGUGCUGUUCGAAGUCAAGAUGCAGGCUAACCUUGGUGGUGGGGAGGGGGGAGAAGAGGCAGAGUCUCGAAAAAGAACAUGAAAGGGAUUCUGAUAUGCUGCCAGGAUGUUCUAUUUCUUGAUCUGAUCAAUUAGCUGGGUAUGUUCACUAUGUAAAAACUUUUCAAUCAUACAGGUAUGAUUUUUACCUUUUUCCUUAUGUAUACUGUUUGUCCUUAAAAAAUAAAAAUACAGAUUUCUAAGCCCUAUCUCAGGCUUACCAAAUUAGAAUAUGUACUUAAUGUAACUGUCUACAUAAGGCGGUUAGGAAUCUGUGUUUGAAAAGCUCCCUGGGGAUUCUGGAUUUGGAUUUGAGUUUUGGGGAACUGCGGCUUUUAUGAAGACAGCAAGUUCUCAUUCCCAAGACCUUGUGUCUCCUUGGUGCUGGGGAGGGAUCUUUGUCUUUGUGGAGACCAUUAGUGCACUAGGGCUUUGUUAUGGAGACCCUAGAGAACUCCAGGGGCAUUCCACCACAUUGACUGCCAAGGUCUGAUCUGGUACAGAUAAUGGACAUUCUCAGCUAUAUCGAGAGAUGGAUGGAUCAAGGGGUAGGUGUGACAACGUUUACUUAGGACUCUAGAUUGUCAUGUUUUUAAACUAAAUUGUCAUAUUGGAUCGAACAAGAGGAGUGCAGCUGAGAAGCAAAUGGAAUCUGAGGAAUAUACCAAGUGUUCCAUGAGGGGUUUGCCUAAAUAUUGACAAAUCAUGACAUGCAGAGCCAGUAUCAGGAGAUUAAUUGUGUUGUUACCCUGGCUUCGUAUCCCUCAUGGAAUCAUACCAUAUUGAGCGAAGAAAGGAACAGAUGUCUCUUUUGUGAACACGUUAAAGCAGUGAAAGUCUGAUAAUAAUCAUGAGUUAAAGAGGGAGAACAUUAUUUCACGAUCAGACUGUGUUUAACUUCUUACUUAUUGGGGAAAUACCUUCAGGUAUCAAGAAAACACUGAACAUCAUUAGAUUCCAUUUGACUCUUUCUCUCCUUUUUUCUGCUGAAUUUUGUCAAUGAGCUGUCCACUAAUCAACUAUAGAGAAUUACAGUCUGCAAAUUUGAGUGUCACUUAAGUAUUAUAACUCUUUUUUCUUAAUCUGAAUUCAUUCAUCUUUACUCAUUUACAGAUUUAUAUGUAUUUUUUGUUCAAUAAAUCUCAAAUGGCUACCAAUAUUGCUGAUACUAAAGUUACAGCAGUUAAGAAGGUAGGUCAUGGGGGAGUCUGGGUGGCUCAGUAGGUUAAGCAUCCGACUUCAGCCCAGGUCAUGAUCUCAUCUCAUGGUUUGUGGGUUUGAGCCCCAAAGGCCUGGAGCCUGCUUCAGAUUCUCUGUCUCCUUCUCUCUCUGCCCCUCUGCCACUCAUGCUCUGUCUCUCUCUUUCUCAAAAAUAAACAUUAAGAAAAAGAAAAAGAAAAACAAGUUAGAUCAUAGAUCCGGCUCUUAUAGGGUUUACAUUUUGGUGGACAUCUUAUUUCUCGAGGAUUUUUUUUUUUUCUAUUAAAAGUUCAGUAGGAGGAAAUUUAGCAUUGACUCACCCAAUUCUAUGUGUAAUUCUGGCUGUCCAUUUAGAGGAAUUUGUGCCAUGACCUGAAUUACUAUUAAGUAUCAUAACUCUUAAACAGAAUCUUCCAGUUUGAGGUAGAGAACCAUAGUCAAGUGCUAUUCAAACUUUUUUUACUAUGAUCCUCCAUAAGGAAUAUUAUUUACAUUGUGACCUAACACACACACACACACACACACACACACACACACACACACACCCCACACCCAAAACAAAACACUGAUCAGAAGUACUUCUCACUGGGACGCCUGGGUGGCUCAGUUGGGUAAGUGCUGACUCUUGAUUUCAGCUCAGGUCAUGAUCUCAUGGCUUGUGGGUUCAAGCCCUGUGUCAGGCUCUGGGCUGACAGCACAAAGCCUGCUUGGGAUUCUCUCACUCCCUCUCUCUCUGCCCGCCCCUGCUCUCAUGCUCUCUCUCUGUCUCUCUCUGAAAAUAAAUAAGUAAACGUUUAAAAAAGUACUUUUUACUACAUGUGAGUAGCUUUAUUUUUAUUCCUUAUUAUUCUGAUACUAUAAAUAGUAUAGCAUUGAUACUAUAAAUAUAUUUAUGUUCUAUUCUAUUUAAUUCCUUAAAGUUUUUUUUUUGUUUUAUUUAUUUAUUUUGAGGGAGACAGGAUGCAAACAGGGGAGGGGCAGAGAGAGAGAGAAUCUCAAGCAGGCUCCACACUGUGGAGCACAGAGCCCGAUGUAGGGCUCAAAUUCACAAAACUGUGAGAUCAUGACCUGAGCCAAAAUCAAGAGUCGGAUGUUCAACCGACUGAGCCACCCAGGUGUCCCAAAUUCCUUAAAAUUUAAAGAUUAUGGUUGAUUUUAUAACCCACUAGUGGCUUGUGAGAUGUACUUUGAAAAACACUGCCUUCAACUGUAUCUAGUACAACUCCAGAGGCACAGAGGCACAGAGAAGCUAGUCAGCUACUUACCCAAAGGCACACAGAAAAGAAUAAAAAAGAGAGGCUCCUAUUUCCCCACACUUACUGCUUUUCCUCAGAAUGCAGCUCACUUAUUUCUGAACCUGAUUAAUUUAGACAAUCGCUUGGACUCACCACAUUCAGGUAUUGUCAUCCACUAUAGACUGAAUUCAUGUUCUUAUAAUUUGGUAAACAGUCUGUAACUUGCCAUUUAUUGGGCCACAGUUUUAAUGAAACCAAUGUAAAUGUAGUAUCUUUCAGGUCCUAGUCAGGGGAGAGUCUAUAUGGCGGGACGGUCGAGGGGUCAGGAUUUGGAGUCACACAGACAUGGUUAUAAAUCCCAGCUCCAGCCCUCUCUAGUUGUGUGAUUCGUGGGCAAGAAGCCUCCUCUCUAUGACUCAACUUCAACUAUAAAAUGGGGGAACAACAACAACAACCUUACAGAGUUGCAUGGACUGGACAAGGUCAUUCACAUGAAGUAUGUCUGUUAGUUUCACAAUAUCUUAAGCAUGGUAAGUACUCAAUAUAUGUUGACAUCAUGAUGAUGGUGGCCAUUAGGGAAGUCUAGUCCAAGGGAAAAUGAGGCAGUCCUGCGGCCAGAACCCUGAAGACCCAGGAGAGACCAAUGGAAACUACCUACAAUUACAUGUGAAAAGAGGGGAUUCUACUUGGCCUCCAUUGACUUCCAGGUCCAUGGGGCAUGCAUACGAUACUAACAAACCCUUAUAUGAAAAUUACUUAUGCAGAUUUACAAUAGAAAUGAGAAUAGCAUUCAAUUAACAAAUGAUAGAUUCAGUUAUGAAUCAGCAUGUAAGGACUCAGUGAUAAAAAUUCAGUAUCGGUGCUCAACCCAGAACAGACUGGAUAUGGAGAGAGGUUUGGCUUUCUUAAACUGGCAGAUUGUAGUAGAUGGCCCUUCCAUUGCAGUCACUUUUCUGGGGAAACGACACCAGGACAUCAGCUGGCUGGAAGGCUCGGUCCUUUUGCCGAGGACUCAACCCCUUCCCUUCUUCCUCUCACCUUAUUACACUUCAAUUUAAGCACAAAACUGCAGAAGUGGCUACCCGUAGUAGUUCUGUGUCCCGCUGCCUGUAUAACCUGAAAACAAACCUUCCGUAAGAAUUCCAAACCAAGAAUAGAAUAGGUAUUUCAUAGACUGGCUGUAUCUUUAUCAUUUAAAGGAGAACCCAAGUCUUAGAAAAGAAAUUCCUGUAAGGGUGUGGGGGCUCUGAGCUUUCGUGCUCUGAGUCAUUGUGGUAAGAAGCCUGAGUGCAUCUGUAGAAAAUACUCAGCUUUGGUCAUUGAUGGACAAAGACAGAAAGAGCCUGGGUAGGAAUUAAAGUAAGUGCAGUGUGUGUGAGCCUCCUUUCCGGAAGUCAGUGAUGGUGAGGUCAGCAGUGUGGAUAGAGUACCCGAAUUCUUUUCAUGCCUCAAAUUGCAUUAUCACACCUGGUAACAGUGCUGCCCCUCUUUGAAUGCACCUGGGAUUGCUGAUGGUGCCCCAGAACUGGAUUCUGCAGGAGGAGGGUCCUCUGCACCCCCAUGCUUAUGAGGGCUGAACUCCGCCCUCUCGUGUAAUGAUGACCCUGCAUUGGGCCUUUGUAAAUGUUAGUUCAGAGAAUCUUCACCACAUCCUUGGAACUAGGCUUUGUUCCCCCAUUUUACAGUCAAGGUGGUGAGGCUAAGUGGUCCUGUAGAGGGAGUAAUGGGGUUAGAAGCCAAAUUUGGCAGAACCCAAACCCCACUAUGAAGCCCAAUGGGAGGCAAUGAGCACAGAGAUGUCAGAGGCAGAUGCCUGGUGUUCAUAUGUAAGCCACGUCUCUUACUAGCUCAGGAGCUUGGGACAUUUUCUUAACCUCCGUUUUCCUAUCUGUAGGGCAGAAAUCAUAAUAGCAGCUACCUCAAAGCAAUGUUUGAUCGUGUGAAACAACGCGUGGAUAUAACAGCACAAUGUUUGGCACAUAGAAACUGCCCAGUAAAUAUUAUCUGUCAUGUUCUUCGUCUUUCUGGGGCUUUGGAAACUGAACUAUGUCCAAAUUGCUGUACUCAAUCUCUAAGAUCCCUUAAGCAGAUUAUUGCAGGUGUAUUGCUGCUUGCUUUCUGGUUCUGAGCACAUAAUAUUGUGAAAUAAAAUGUUUGCAACUUUUUGAGAAAAGAAAAGCUGCAUCUAAAACAUUCAUUACUGUAGACUUAAUAUGAAUUUCUCUUGGGCUGGUCAC